rnacentral:lncRNA from 1 species
ACAAGAAAUCAAGCAUCUAAAGUAUGGUCAAACCUUGUCAGAAAAAUUAACACUUAGAAAAUUCUGGGCUGCCCAGAAUUUUCUGGUCAAUGCCGGUCAACCCACUUUAACCUUAAAUAACUCUUAAUCCGUAAUAUAUAUGGACCUGAUUAUUUUUGGAGGUUAAAUAACACAUAACAAGCUACACAUAACAACCUUUAAAACACAAAACGCAUUAAAGAUGACCGAGAUAUAAGGCCUGACAUUUGCCAAAAAAAUUUUUCUGGACACUUAGAAUAUUUUCUGGGUUUGAAAAACAGCCGGUCACUGCCAGUCAACCCACUUUGACCGCUUAUAAAUCCCGAUCUACAAUAGAUAUAGACCUGAUUCCUUUUGGAGUUUAAAGACCACAUAACAACAUACACCUAACAACCUUUAAACAACAAAAAAAGUAAAUAAUCACAGAGAUAUAAGUCUUGACAUUUGCCCAAAAAUCACAGAAUUCGGUUUUUCCAACUUGCUCAAAUCUUCAAAUUCGUGCACUUUGAUGUUAUGGGUCUUUGAUUUAUCAACCCAUAUCAUCAAUUAACAUUCUAUUACACAACUUUAAACAAUCAAUUGCAUCAAAUAACAUCGAAUCAAAGGAUUUCUAGGUUUAGUGUUCUUAUACCCUUUUUGCCAAAAAUUCUUGAUUCUUGCUUCUGAUUUGUUAUGGGUGAUGGUUGGGCUUUGUUUAAGAGUGUAUGGGCAAUCUUGUACAAGGCAAUUAAAUGUAAUAUUUAAUCACUAGAUUUAAUUCUUAUAAUUUACCAAUUAACUUCUAUCCUUUGGUAAAUUAAAACACUUAUACAAUAACAUCGAAAUUAAACCCGGUAAUUAAAAUUAGGGUUUCUCAACGUCAUCAAUUAGGGUUUCUAAUUGACCAUUAGUGGUUCUUUAAUUAUCUGUGUAUGUUACUAACACAGUCGUUACGGUUUCUAAUUUCAACCGGUUAGGGUUAUAAUAAUUAGGGUUUGUCCUAAUUAUCGACGUACAACAGUAAUUAGGGUUUCUUCUAAUUACCGAUAUUCUUAUUCACAGUAACUUCAUAUACACAGUCACUACUCAGAAAUAUCCCAUAACUGAGUUUAAUAAUUAGGGUUUCACAGCACGGUAAUAUGCUAUGACCUAAUUGACCGUCAUUGCUCAAUAUUAUCUGUCCGCACAUACCCAGUACAUAAUUAUGGUACUGUAAAAUCAUUAUAUAAAUAAUAUAAUAUUAUUAUUCUCAUCUCUUGAUCACAAUCCCAAUCCAGGGUUUGGAUCUCAUGUCUGACUUAUUCUUCGUACACAGCAUCAAUAAUCAAGUUAAAAUAAUUAACUUAAAUAUUCUGAACAAUUCAUAUAAUAAAAUAUUUAUUAUAUAAAUCUAAUUAUCACUUCAUAUAUUAUUUCCAAUCAUGUUUUCAUGGAAAAUAAUUAAUAAAAACAUUUCGGCUUACAGAAAUUUAUUACCAUAUAAUUUGUGGUAAUUAAUAAUUCCAAAAUUAUUUCUAAUUUUUCAAGUAAUAAAUGUAUUCGCAUUUAUCGUUCACUUUACUUGACACUUAGUCUCGUCAUUAAAAAAAAAAAAAAUUUAUACGCAAAAUUUCUUAUUUAUUUUAUAUAGAAAAUCUCGGGUUAUUACAUUCACCCUCCCUUAUAAGGAUUCCGUCCCCGGAAUCACCGCUUUAAAAACUCAUAUGCAGAAGGGUACAUAGCAUAUAAUCAUUGUACGUAGAUCUCGAUCAUACUUGAUCGAACUGAUCUUUAAUUAUUCAUCAUAACACUUGUCUAUCCGAUUAAGCAGAAAUAUAAGAUAUAUAAGUUAUUCAAAUAGCACCUGGAGUUCUGUUUCCAGCUGCCACCGUAUCCUGGACCGUCAUGUUGUAAACCCUCGGAGUUGCUUUCGUUGGGUUACUGGUUGAGUUUGGUCCUGAAAUUGCUAACGUCCCACUGCUUCUCCCCGUGGUUACGUUCCCUGCCUCCAUUCCCCUCUGUGGACAGUUCCUCACCUUAUGCUCAGUCGAUCCACAUAUGAAGCAUCCACUGAUCAUCCUUGAGUUGGGGCAGUUGGGAGAGAUAUGACCCUCUUGCCCGCACUUGUAGCAUACAAACUUGCCCUUCAGACACUCGCCAGAGUGAUUCUUCCCGCAGUUCUUGCACUGCACUACCUGCUUCUUUAUACCUUCCUGCUUUACUUGCAUUUUCUCAGAAAAAUUCCUCAUUCUUUUCUCACCCCUAUUCCCACUACUACUUUCUAUCUUUACUGUUCCUCCUGACUUGCUUUUGUUCUUCUUCUCCUUAUGGUAGAGGCUCAUGGCCUCACUUCCCUGUUCAGCAAUGAUAGCCUUCUCCAUGAGUGCUGCAAAAGUAUUGAUUUGCAGUACUGACACCUUAUUGUAGAGCCAGGGUUUUAAGCCCAGCUCAAAUCUCCUUGCCUUCCUAGCCUCUGUAUCCACUUGAUGUGGAGCAAACCUAGCCAACUCAUUAAAUUUUGCGGCAUACUCCGCAACAGUCAUGUUAUCCUGCUUUAACUCCAGGAAUCUCACCUCCAUUCUAGACUGCAUACUAACAGAGAGAUAGUUUUCGAAAAAUAAAUCCUUAAACCUAUCCCAAGUAAUUUCUUCUUCUCCUGCCCGAGUCUUAUUUGCCUCCCACCAAAAGUUAGCUUCCCCUUUCAUCAUAUAAGUGGCAAAAGCGGUCUUUUGCCCCUCAUCUACUUUAGCGAUUACGAACGCCUUCUCUAUCUCGUUCACCCAAGUCUGGGCUUCUAUAGGGUCAGCUGAUCCUCUGAAUUCUGGUGGUCCUACGGCUUUGAAGUCUUUGAAUUUUGCCAAGCGAUUGUCUGGCUGGUUUCCCGCAACUGGUGUUCCCUGCUGCAUAGCCUGAGCUACCAUGUUUGCAAAGUUUUGCAUCAGUUCUGGCUGUCGUUCCCCAGCAUUAGUAGAUUCUUCUAUCCUUUGGUUUCGAGUUUGACGUCUUGGCGGCAUUAUCUGGUUAAAUAAAACCAUAAAUUAUACCCUUACAUUUUAAACCUUAUUGCAUAAGAUUAAUGUAUUAAACUCGUUUCAUUUCUCAAACUUAGAUUCAUAUUCAUUUAUCGAAUAUUUACACAGCACAUCCUGCUUUAAUCAACAGCUAUCCCUUUGUGACUACGAAAGUCGGGAUUUAAAAUCUUAACCAACAUAAAAGUUAAAAAUAGUUCAUUACUUAUCACACAUAUUACAUACAUAACCCAUACUACUUAUUUACCAAGCCUUUUUCUCGGACAUUCAUUCGCUCGAUGUCCUUCCAUCCCACAAUUAAAACAUCCACCUUUCUUAUAGUCGGGGCAACGAGGAGAGGUGUGUCCUUCACGGAUGUGUCGCUUGAGGCUCCAUCUGGUCAAUUUGGAUUUUGAGCUUAUCCUGCUCUUCCAUUGUUUCCAUUAACGCCUGACGCAUCAACUUUUCUAUCUCCCACAACCUUUCCAAUGAAGAAACCUUGUUCUCCAAAUCCUGCACCUCCGUUGAUGCUUGAGCAGCUUCAACUUUAGUGUCUGAAUCACUAUCUGUCAAAUCCAACAUUUCUGGAUCUGAUGCUACGUUUUUCCACGAUAGCCACCUCGUCCGAUUUGGGUUCCUAGUGAGCUUCUAUUUCAUCUGUUGGCCUCGAUAUUAGCUCGGGGUGUGAAUAUGAUCCUUCUUAUUCCACAUAUCUUUCUCACCAGACAUCUACAUACAUAAGUUACCCUGAUUAACAUAUAGUAUAUAUACACAGCAAUCAAGAGUUCUAUAUACGUUGUCUCUUAUUUUGAUUGACGAUAAAUUUAUUCAAUUCUCAUCAACGCCUAUCUCUGCCGAAAGGCAGCUCCAUCCACUCUGCAUCGAAUCGCAUGAAGGUGAUGACUAAAGCCUGGUCCAAGGUAUAUAUCUGGUGUCUUUGGCUUCUAUUUCAACCUUCAACUGUCUUAUCUGAAUAUCUCCCUCUGCUCCAACCUCCCUCAUAACUCGGCUAACUCUAUCUGUGCUUACAACAUUCACACAUAUCAUCACAUGCUACCCAAUACACCUCUCACAAGAGUAAAAGUUUUCAAAUUGUGCUGAGGGGUCAUAUAGACCAUGAACACAUAGUUUUAACGGUAUUCAUACCGCAAAACAAAACAUUACCUGGUAUGUUUACAAUCACAAAGAAGGUAAACUACCAUUAAUAGUACUUUAGGUGAUUAGCCUAUUGUACCCCUACGUCAUGCAUAACGUAUUAAUCAUACCUAGCGAAUAUUUACGCCAUUAGAUUGGAUCAUUUAUCCAAACAACAUUGUUCACCUCAGUCUUAUCAUAGGAUUCCGCACCAAACAAUUUGGUUCGGGAAAUUUCUUUCAAUGAACACUUAGAGUUUUCAUAAACAUUAGUCUAGCUGAUUCAAAUAGCAUAGACUCAUAUCAAUAAUUCAAUUCAAUCGAAUUAUUUAGAUGUAGCCAAACCCCGUUGGCAAAUUAAACUUUUUGAAAACAUUUUCGAGAAUGACGUCAUGAUGCCGUACUGUAUUAACAAUCCGUUGAGGAUGCCGUCAUUGUAUGACUUUGUCAUAACACAUCAUACAAUAGUGGAACAGCGACUUCAGGUCAAAUUCACACUAAGUAUUCCUGUAUUUACAACUCCAUCACAUUUUUAUCAUCUCUGCACCAGGUUACAUGGUACAUGAGUGAUAAUUAAAAACAAAUUUUGAUAUUUCAAAUCAUUUGCGUCUAGCCAAAAUAAGUAGCAUAGACCGUACUUUAAACCGUUUCAAAAAUGAUUACGAGUCUACAUUUUUGUUUUCAAAAGCACAUAGUGCGUAUUUAGCUUGAUGUCAAAAAUUUUGAAGUUUAGCAUAGCUAGGAGUUUAGGAAAACCUAACACCUUCACUAAAAAUCAUUUACUUAACAAUCUAUCUGUUCCUGUAAUCCAUAACACUCCAUUCACACAAAACUAUACCCAGUUCAUCAAACCACACUUAUGAGUUCAUAAAUUGCCACAAUCAUAUGAGUUUAAGAACUUAUCCUAGUCAGACCUUUGGCGUCCAUUCGCUGAGGGGUUCAUAAACAUUUCAUAUAAUUAUGAGUCAAGAAUGUCUCAUAGGUAUGAGUUUUAAGAACUCGAACUUAAUCUUAUAUUCUCUAUCUAUGACCUAUCUACCUGUUAUACACCUGAGAAUGGAGUCAUCCUCUUAAUGUGCAUAUAACAAAUAGCGCGACACAGACAUUUCAAUGAUUAUCAGUGCCAGAAACUAAGUGGUUUUUACACCAAGUACAAUUCAGCUCCCAUACGAAGAAUCAUACAACUCAGCUGCCGACAUGAGUCCUCAAUUGAAUCCCCAUCUAACACUAACCCCAUUCUCCAUACGAAUUUAAUUCGUAUUUAUAAUUCUCUUCUGGAUCUGUACCAAUUGAUAGUACAAUUCAUACACAGCAAUCUUGCUGUAAACUUUCCAAUCAUCAGAUUGAUUCCUUCUGGCUGUCAUAGCCUUAUCAGAUCACGGGGUGAUCUCAUCGUAUAUAUUACGAUUUAGUUCUAUAUCUUGAUCGUUUUAUUUUACGAUCUCUCAUAACUGCACUUUCAGUCUUUUAGACUCAAUCUAUUCCCCACUACUGUUUAACUUUAUAAUCAGAGUUAGGGAACUCUGUGUCUUUACACUCGCCGAGAUUCAUCUUUGAAUCUUAUCGACCAACUAACUCUAUAUGAGUUAAUACUUAUCCUAAUCAUUGCGGUUAUUAGUCUCAGGUAUUCCUACCUAAGCUUCAUAACCAACAGCUUUGAUACCAACCUGUGACGACCCCAAAUCCAGGUACUUGAAACCCGAACUCGGUUCUCCACGAUACCAUUUCUUUAAGCUGAAUAAUACUAAAUAAUAAUACAUUCGAACUUAAUUUACAUACAUCAAAGUUUACUUCCCCAGGUACGUGACCUUCAAAUACAUUCCUUACAAUACUUGAAUAGAUACCAAUACAACUAUAACCAUUAACUCAUAAUACACACUUAUUCGAUCAGCUUUCCUUUUCCUUUGUUCGUGCCUGAGCCUUCAGGUUGCUCAUACAUAACUGAAAACAUUUAAUUUAAGCAAGGAUGAGCAUUUGAGUGCCCAGCAAGUAAUAGCAAUUAUAUAUAUAAGCUGAAAGAAUAUAAGUAUUCUCUUUACAUAACACUUCUACAACGAAUCAAAAGUUGUGAAGUAAUCUGUACUGAUAAAAGAUUCACAUAACAACUCUCUUUCAAUUUCUUGAAAUUAGGCUCCACCCAUGAAUAGGGUUUAAGAAACAUACUAUGAACAUUGUUUUUCAUUUUCGAAAAGGUUUAGCAGAAAUUCAUCCGCAAACCGUCAUAACUUACGGGCACGGAGGGUGAUCAGCCCCGUUGUACCCUGUAUUGAUCAAUACUACAUAACUUGAACGAAAUUCAUCGCUCACCCUUUGUCCGCCGAAGCGCAUAAAAAUUUUCCCAUUAUCGGGAUGUUCAUACAUGCCUGGUUCCAAACCCGAAGGUUUUUAAUCUUGCUCAACAAUAAUAUGUAAUUCAACAUAUAUGUAUACGGGUAAUUGACAAAGGUAUAUCAACAUGUGAAUAAAUGCCAUGAUUAUCCAAGUGGGGACACUUGUAUAACCAUUUAGAAAUCAACUUAACAGAAUAUAUAUCUGAGCUAACAUGUUGAUAAUCAAAGCGUACAUAAUCUGUACAGGAAUAGAAUAAUUCUGAAACUUCUUACUCAUGUCCAUUGCAUAAAGGAAAUGCAAAGGUAAGAUACUUGCCUGAUUCGCUGAUUACAAAUCUCAACUUAGGUUUUAUCUCUUUAUCACAACCUAUCAAUAAUCAGAUCAUUCGUUCGAUUAGAACAAUAUAUCAUAACACAUAGUACUGUCUAUUACAGUCAGCACAUAGUCUAAUCACGUCAUCACAUAAUCGCAGUGAUCAUACUUUUAGUUCAUAUUCUAUACUUGAAAUAUUUUUAUACAUUUUUCAAAUAUCUCAUCCAUGCUCUUACAGAAGUCUUUUCUUUCUAUUAUAGGGUCUGACAUUUGUCGGCGUACCGACAGCUUUAUCGGGUAAAUACUGAGUCUAAGACUCUUAUCCUAUACCUCAACAUCUGUAAAUAUCAAACAUUUUAUUUUUAAUCAUUUUCGAAUUUUCCAGAAAUUGAAAAAUUUAAAAUAAUUCAAAUCUGUCACUACCGGGCCUAUAGUGAUAUAACUGUUACUAUAGGUGUUCCUCAAAACUUCAUAACUUCAUAAUCGGUUCUCAAGUCAGCUAGUUUGGCCGGCUAUAACUUUCAAACAUCGGAAUCAUAAUUAAAUGAUUUAAACAUUAAACAAUUCCAUUAUCAUUAAUAAUUAAUUUAUAUUAAACUAUUAAUGAAACCAUUGCCAAAAUAUAAAAGUUAUUUAUAAUAACUCAAACUAUUUUUAAAACAUUUAUAUUACCCUUAAAUGAUUUUUAAAACAAUUAAAAUCAUUUUUAAAUAAUCACCAUUAAUAUAUAAAUAUUAAUGUACUAUUCAUCCAAAUAUUAAAAGUCAUUAAUUAUAACUUAAAAUAUUUUUAAAUCCUUAAUAUCCUCUUUAAAUGAUUUUUAAAUAAAUAAAACCAUUUUUAAACUAUUUAUUUAAUAAUAAUUAUUAAAUAAACUAAAUAUCAUUAAUAUUAUCUUAAUAUCAUUAAUAUUAAAUUAUUAAUGAAAUUAUCCUUUAAAUAUUAAAAGUUAUAUUUUAUAACUUAAAAUAUUUUUAAAUACCUUAAUUUCAUUUAAAAUGAUUUUUAUAAUAUUAAAAUCAUUUUUAAACUAAAUUAUUUAAUAUAAUCAUUAAAUAACUUUAAUAUCAUUAAUAUAUAAUUAAUUAAUGAAAUUCAUCACAAAAUAUUAAAAGUCAUGGGAAAUAACUUAAAAUAUUUUCUUAUACCAUAAUAUAAUUUUUCAUGAUUUUUCAUGAAUUAAAACUAUUUUUAAAUCAUUUAUUUAAUAUUAUAAUUAAAUAAAUAAAUACCUUUUAUAUUCCAAAAAUAUUAAAUAUUUAUGAAAUAUACUCAAAAUAAUUAAAAACUAUUUUUCAGACUUUAAAAUAAUUUUUCAUAAUUUAUUUGGUAUUUUUAAUAAUUAAAAUCUAAUUUUUCUAAUUUUUAAAUCAUUUUUCGGAAAAUCAGAAAUUAAAAUAAUUAAAACUGUCGCUAAAGGCCCCUAUAGUGACAGAAGUGUCGCUAUAGGUGUUCUUGAGCCUACCCAGAUCUUCAUAAGGCAGAACCGAGUGGCCUACUUUGACCGUGAAUAACUCUCUCAUCUUAACGAAUUUGGACAAUCUAUAAAUUGGGUCUUGUAGAGGAAAUACAAGACUACAAGAUCCAACAAUCAUAACCUCUAAACAAACAUCAGAUCUGGGAUAAAUCAGCCAUCAAAGUAGCUACCAAAGCUGUUCUUCACGAAGAACAGUUCGAGGUGCCUACUUUGGACCUCUAUAACUUGAUGAUCGUGUAACGUUUAUGUGAUCUAUCAAUUCCAGUGUGUAGACAACAUGUAGGACUACAACUCUAACACUUAACAUCAUCAUAAAAACAAGAAAUCAAGCAUCUAAAGUAUGGUCAAACCUUGUCAGAAAAAUUAACACUUAGAAAAUUCUGGGCUGCCCAGAAUUUUCUGGUCAAUGCCGGUCAACCCACUUUGACCUUAAAUAACUCUUAAUCCGUAAUAUAUAUGGACCUGAUUCUUUUUGGAGGUUAAAUACCACAUAACAAGCUACACAUAUCAACCUUUAGAACACAAAACACAUUAAAGAUGACCGAGAUAUAAGGCCUGACAUUUGCCAAAAAAAAAUUUCUGGACACUUAGAAUAUUUUCUGGGUUUGAAAAACAGCCGGUCAAUGCCGGUCAACCCACUUUGACCGCUUAUAAAUCCCGAUCUACAAUAGAUAUAGACCUGAUUCCUUUUGGAGUUUAAAGACCACAUAACAAGCUACACCUAACAACUUUUAAACAACAAAAACAGUAAAUAAUCACAGAGAUAUAAGUCUUGACAUUUGCCCAAAAAUCACAGAAUUCGGUUUUUCCAACUUGCUCAAAUCUUCAAAUUCGUGCACUUUGAUGUUAUGGGUUCAUGAUUUUACAACCCAGAACAUUAAUAGACUCCCUAUUACACUACUUUAAACAAUCAAUUGCAUCAAUUAACAUCGAAUCGAA